CAGCCGCCGCGGUAAUACAGAGGGUGCAAGCGUUAAUCGGAUUUACUGGGCGUAAAGGGCGCGUAGGUGGUUAUGUAAGUGAGAUGUGAAAUCCCCGGGCUCAACCUGGGAACUGCAUCUUAUACUGCGUAGCUGGAGUGCAGUAGAGGGUAGUGGAAUUUCCGGUGUAGCGGUGAAAUGCGUAGAUAUCGGAAGGAACACCAGUGGCGAAGGCGGCUACCUGGACUGACACUGACACUGAGGCGCGAAAGCGUGGGGAGCAAACAGGAUUAGAUACCCCCGUAGUCCCUGUCUCUUAUAA
rnacentral:rRNA from 1 species